CAACAUAGUUGUCAUUAGUGUAAGCAUUUCUUAUUUCAAAUAUUCACCAACAGAUUUGAGAAUAUAAGUGGUUUCCCAAAAACAUAAUAGUUAAGAACAAGGAGUUUAAACUAGAGAUUUAGAUUGAAAUACUGACAUUGGCAGUUACAACUGUGUGAUACUUUUGGCAAGUUAUUUUUCAUUAGUGAAAUAAGGGUAAAGCACUGACCUCAUAUAGUUGUAAAGAAUAGUACUCUGCCUCAAAUAUUAGGGAUUAUAAAAAUCAACAUUAUUGAGGCUUUCUCUAACAAGUAUUUCUCCUUUUUUCAGGAAGGAUUUUCUCAGGAUGCCCUCUUGAAAAUGUGCUAGCAUUGUUAUUCCUCAAGGAGAUGAGAAUUCCAGAUUGAGGGACCAGCCACAUGGAGGCAUAAAAGCAUGGGGCAUGUUCAGACAGUGCCAUGGAAACCACCACUAAAGCCGAGAUGGAGAAAGAAAGGACUCAUAUUAACAUCAUCAUUAUUGGACACAUAGAUUCAGGAUGUCUACAAAACUGGUGGUACUGGGACUGUCUCUGUGUGCUGAGUAGAGACUGCUGUUCUCAAACCUGGCGUACUCGUUACCUUUGCUCCAAACGACAUUACAACUGAAGGUAAAGUCUGUUGAAUCGCAUCAUGAGCUUUGAAUGUAGCUCUUCAUGGGGCUAAUGUAGACUUCAGUGUAAAGAAUGUGACUGUCAAAGAUACUCAUCAUAGCACUGUGGCUGGCGAUAGCAAAAAUGACCCACUAUUGGAAGAAGCUGGCUUCAACACUCCAGUGAUUACCCUAAAUCACCCCGGUCAUAUCAGUGCUGGCUAUGCACCUGUUGCUGAAUUGUCAGGUACCUCACAUCGCUUGCGAGUUUGCUGAGCUGAAAGAGAAGAUUGAUCACCACUCUGGUAAGAGGCUAAAAGAUGGCCUCAAAUUUUUGAAAUCUGGUUGAUGUGCUUCUUGGAAGCUUAGGUGUUAAUAGCUUCUCUGGCUAUCCAUAUUUGGCUAUUUGUGACGUGAGAUGGACCACUGCUGUGGGUGUCAUCAAAUUCGUGGACCAGAAGGCUGCUGGAGCUGGUCAGGUCACUGUUUGCUCCGAAAACUGAGUAAGGUAAACAAAUAUUAUCCCCAGUAUCCGCCAUCCUAGUCUUAAGCAGACAGGUGGGAGAAGGUAUCAGAAGUGUUUCUCUCAACUGGCCUGUUUAAUAGUAAAAGUUUGGUUAAUAACAAUGCAUUGUAAAACCUGCAGAGGGAAAGGAGGGUGUUUUGUGGAUCAUUUGAUUAUUUUUCUGUGGCAAUUGUAAGUUGCUUGUUUUUAAAAUCAGUGUUUUAAUGAAAACAACUUGACCAAAAAUCUUGAAUUUUGAGAUCCUUUAAAACAAAAUUUAAUGAGAAAAUUCAGUGUAAAAAAAUAAAAU
rnacentral:lncRNA from 1 species